UUACAUAACUUAUUUUGUUCAUUCAUUUAUCAGUGUCUGUACAUGUCACUCUCCAAGGAACAUUAUUAUGAUGGCGAGAAUGGCACUGGGUACUUGGCCUGGAGGAUUAAAGCCAUACAGAGAUGCACCGCUAAAGGGAGGCGAUUAUCAUCUGGAGCACCAGGAGAUGGAUCAUCGAGUGAAGACCAGUGUGGUGGACCAACUGUCAGACGAGAGUUGCAGUUUGUUACAGAGAAGGUGCUGAGUGAGGAUGAGUGCAAGAAUACAAUCGCUCUGAUGAAACAUUCAGCUGAUGAAGACAGUCAAGAAGAAGAUGAAGUUGACAUUUGUUUAUCGACACAGCAUGGUCCUUGACCUCCUGCUGUCAAGCAACAUACUGUCUGUUUUUCCACGUUUCAAAGAUAUCAAAGGCUUGAUCGAACAGGAUUUUGUACUGAUGUUUGGUGAGGAUGUAUCAGGCAGGUUGCUGGAGAGGUGGCCAACAACAUUCAAAAGAAAGAUUAUCCA